UAGAAUGCCCUAUGAUAAAAACAAAAAA
rnacentral:piRNA from 1 species